AUUCAGCGCUUGGGAUCUGGGCUUACAGCUCUGUUCCCAGACAACUCCCUUUACUCUUAUUCCUCAUAAGCACUGAGGAAAAGUCAAACUGCGUUUCUUUGGUGAAACACACAUGGUUUCUUGAGUCACCCUGUGUAUACUGUGUGGUAGCACUGUACUGACAGCCAUUUAUCCUAGAGCAGGCAAGAUGCUCAGAAGUCUCUCCCGUGUCUUGUCUGGAUGCCCAGGGAUGGACAUGCUUCUCUCAGACUCCAGAGCCCUUGGGAUUCACCAAGACUUACAGAUGUUCACUGGGACACCGUCUCCAGCCAGCCUGUUAGGGGACAGAACACAACAAGGGUGGAGGUGAUGUGGUUGUCACUCAUCUGGAAGGAAUUCGAGAGACAGAGCAGAGAGCACAGGCUGCAGCGGGUGCAGGUCCCAGCCCGAGAAGCAGGAGAUCCCUUUAACACCAUGCUGUAAACCUGGGAGGAAAGUCGUGGCUCAGGCUGGUUUUGGCACCAUGCUGAUAUCAAGAGGAGCAGGGAACUCACAGCAUCUCUGUGCUGCAAGGAUGGGCACCUCCGAGAGACCUCCCGAGCAGGAGAUGCUUUAUACAGAGCAAGAGGUGGAUUAUUGGCCAGCCUUAGGGUCUUGCCCACCAAUUGACAGAUGCCAUGACUCUAAUACAGGAGACCUGAGGUGUCUCUGCAAAUCAGAAGAAGGUAACUAGAAGAUGACUUUUUGCAUCUGCUGUCUGCCUUCUGAGAGAAGAGAUGCUGGAGUGAUCUCUGCAAACACUUCCCAUGGAAACAGAAAAAAAGACUCACAGCCACUCAGGGCUGGUUUGACCUUAAUGGCAUCCUCAGCCUCAGCCUGCAGGAGAAAGAUGUGACAGCAGCCUGUGGCACCAGACUGAUGGGGGGCUGCAGGGAUGCCAGGGAUGGGUAAGGACUUGUCAGUGCAGCUCUCAACCAAGUUUCAUGGGGAGUUCCAUGUUGAGGGUGGCUUUGUUUUGGGUUUUUUUUGCAGAAGUGUGCAUGACACAUUGAUGCAGCUGAUGGCACAGUGCACACUGUGCACACUGCUGUAAAAAAUCACAACAAACUCAUGUUUGGCAUUCUGAAUCAUCAGGAAAAAACCAAAAAAGGAGAGAAACACAC